rnacentral:rRNA from 1 species
UACGUAGGGGGCUAGCGUUGUCCGGAUUUAUUGGGCGUAAAGAGCGUGUAGGCGGCCAGGUAGGUCUGCUGUGAAAACUCGAGGCUUAACCUCGAGAUGUCGGUGGAAACCAUCUGGCUAGAGUCCGGAAGAGGAGAGUGGAAUUCCUGGUGUAGCGGUGAAAUGCGCAGAUAUCAGGAAGAACACCCGUGGCGAAGGCGGCUCUCUGGGACGGUACUGACGCUGAGAUGCGAAAGCGUGGGGAGCGAACAGG